rnacentral:rRNA from 1 species
AGAAGUGCUUAAAAAACUGCUGGGAUUGAGGCUGGAGGAGGAAAACGGAAUUCCCGGUGUAAGGGUGAAAUCUGUAGAUAUCGGGAAGAACACCUGUGGCGAAAGCGGUUUUCUAGUCCAGUCCUGACACUGAGCUGCGAAAGCUAGGGGAGCAAACAGGAUUAGAUACCCUGGUAGUCCUAGCCGUAAACGAUGAGCACUAGGUGUUGGGAGUUAAACUUUCAGCGCCGUAAGAUAACUCGUUAAGUGCUCCACCUGGGGACUACGGCCGCAAGGCUAAAACUCAAAGGAAUUGACGGAGGCCCGCACAAGCGGUGGAACAUGUGGUUUAAUUCGACGCUACGCGAAGAACCUUACCAGGGUUUGACAUCUCGGCGUUCUAUUCCCUUGAAAGAGGGAAAAUCCGCAAGGAGGCCGAGACAGGUGCUGCAUGGCUGUCGUCAGCUCGUGUCGUGAGAUGUUGGGUUAAGUCCCGCAACGAGCGCAACCAUUAUCCUUAGUUGCUACCCCGCACCCAGCAGCAAUGCUGGGUGUGGGGGCACUCUAAGGAGACUGCCUGCGAUAAGCAGGAGGAAGGUGGAGAUGACGUCAAGUCCGUAUGGCCUUUAUGCCCUGGGCUACACACGUGUUACAAUGCCUGCUACAAAGCGUUGCCAAACCGCGAGGUGGAGCUAAUCGCAAAAAAGCAGGCUCAGUUCAGAUUGGAGUCUGCAAUUCGACUCCAUGAAGACGGAAUCGCUAGUAAUGGCGGAUCAGCUAUGCUGCCGUGAAUACGUUCCCGGGCCUUGUACACACCGCCCGUCAAGCGAUGGAAGCUGGGGGUACCU